AGAAAAGGCCAUACCAUCCUGAACAAGCCCAAUCUUGUCUGAUCUCAGAAGCUAAACAGGGUCAAUCUUGAUUACUGCUUGGAUGGGAGAUCUCCUGGGAAUACUGAGAGUUGUAGGCU
rnacentral:rRNA from 1 species